rnacentral:rRNA from 1 species
AAUGGGGGAAACCCUGAUGCAGCGACGCCGCGUGAGCGAAGAAGUAUUUCGGUAUGUAAAGCUCUAUCAGCAGGGAAGAUAAUGACGGUACCUGACUAAGAAGCCCCGGCUAACUACGUGCCAGCAGCCGCGGUAAUACGUAGGGGGCAAGCGUUAUCCGGAUUUACUGGGUGUAAAGGGAGCGUAGACGGCAAGGCAAGUCUGAUGUGAAAACCCAGGGCUUAACCCUGGGACUGCAUUGGAAACUGUCUGGCUCGAGUGCCGGAGAGGUAAGCGGAAUUCCUAGUGUAGCGGUGAAAUGCGUAGAUAUUAGGAAGAACACCAGUGGCGAAGGCGGCUUACUGGACGGUAACUGACGUUGAGGCUCGAAAGCGUGGGGAGCAAA